rnacentral:rRNA from 1 species
GACGAACGCUGGCGGCGUGCUUAACACAUGCAAGUCGAACGGAAAGGCCCUGCUUUUGUGGGGUGCUCGAGUGGCGAACGGGUGAGUAACACGUGAGUAACCUGCCCUUGACUUUGGGAUAACUUCAGGAAACUGGGGCUAAUACCGGAUAGGAGCUCCUGCUGCAUGGUGGGGGUUGGAAAGUUUCGGCGGUUGGGGAUGGACUCGCGGCUUAUCAGCUUGUUGGUGGGGUAGUGGCUUACCAAGGCUUUGACGGGUAGCCGGCCUGAGAGGGUGACCGGCCACAUUGGGACUGAGAUACGGCCCAGACUCCUACGGGAAGCAGCAGUGAGGAAUAUUGCACAAUGGGCGGAAGCCUGAUGCAGCAACGGCGCGUGCGGGAUGACGGCCUUCGGGUUGUAAACCGCUUUCGCCUGUGACGAAGCGUGAGUGACGGUAAUGGGUAAAGAAGCACCGGCUAACUACGUG